AGCAGCGUGGCUUAGUGGAGAGAGCGCGGGCUUGAGAGUCAGAGGUCAUGGGUUCAAAUCCCGCCUCUGCCG
rfam:Ornithorhynchus anatinus chromosome 1, whole genome shotgun sequence.